GAUGAAUAACGUAGCGAAAUGCGAUACGUAAUGUGAAUUGCAGAAUUCAGUGAAUCAUCGAAUCUUUGAACGCAUAUUGCGCUCUCUGGUAUUCCGGAGAGCAUGCUUGUUUGAGUAUCAGUAAACACCUCAACUUCCAUAUCUUUUUUGAAAUGGGAGUUGGACUUGAGUGAUCCCAACGCUUUUCCUCACCGAAAAGUGGCGGGUUACUUGAAAUGCAGGUGCAGCUGGACUUUUCUCUGAGCUAUAAGCAUAUCUAUUUAGUCUGCCUAAAAAACAGAUUAUUACCUUUGCUGCAGCUAACAUAAAGGAGAUUAGUUCUUGUGCUGACUGAUGCAGGAUUCACAAAGACAGCUUCGGCCGACUUUGUAAACUCGAUCUCAAAUCAAGUAAGACUACCCGCUGAACUUAAGCAUAUCAAUAAGCGGAGGA
rnacentral:misc_RNA from 1 species